rnacentral:rRNA from 1 species
CUACGGGUUGCUGCAGUGAGGAAUAUUGGUCAAUGGGCGCAGGCCUGAACCAGCCAAGUAGCGUGAAGGAUGACUGCCCUAUGGGUUGUAAACUUCUUUUAUAUGGGAAUAAAGUUUUCCACGUGUGGAAUUUUGUAUGUACCAUAUGAAUAAGGAUCGGCUAACUCCGUGCCAGCAGCCGCGGUAAUACGGAGGAUCCGAGCGUUAUCCGGAUUUAUUGGGUUUAAAGGGAGCGUAGGUGGACAGUUAAGUCAGUUGUGAAAGUUUGCGGCUCAACCGUAAAAUUGCAGUUGAUACUGGCUGUCUUGAGUACAGUAGAGGUGGGCGGAAUUCGUGGUGUAGCGGUGAAAUGCUUAGAUAUCACGAAGAACUCCGAUUGCGAAGGCAGCUCACUGGACUGCAACUGACACUGAUGCUCGAAAGUGUGGGUAUCAAACAGGAUUAGAUACCCUCGUAGUC